UACGGGGGGGGCAAGCGUUGUUCGGAAUUACUGGGCGUAAAGGGCGCGUAGGCGGCCUUCUAAGUCGGACGUGAAAUCCCUCGGCUUAACCGAGGAACUGCGUCCGAUACUGAAAGGCUUGAAUCCGGGAGAGGGAUGUGGAAUUCCAGGUGUAGCGGUGAAAUGCGUAGAUAUCGGGAGGAACACCUGUGGCGAAAGCGGCUCACUGGACCACAACUGACGCUGAGGCGCGAAAGCUAGGGGAGCAAACAGG
rnacentral:rRNA from 1 species